UUUUUUUUUUUUUUUUUUGGUUGGUUGGUUGGUUGGGUUGGGUUUUUUUUGUGAAAACCCUUGAUUUAAACAAAUUGAUAAAAUUUCAGCUUUCUCUUUGAAAAAGUGGUCUCUGUACCAAGGGAUAGUUAUUUAAUACCAUUUGGGACCAUUAAAAUCAAAUUACAGAGGAAUUCCCAUUAUAAAUUAUAUUUUGUAGUAAUAAGAAAUAAAGAUGUGUUAAAUAUGAGCAGAGUGUGAGAAUAUUUAAAUUAUUUUUGUUACAAAAAAAGAUAAAAUUAUGAACUUUUUCCCAGUAUCUGUGCUUUAUUUUUUUUGCAAAAGUAAGUGUGACCUGCAUAAUGGCUGUAUACAAAUAACAAGUUAGUCAUAAAAGGAAAGUCUACAGAAAGCAGCAUGUGGUGGUUUUAUUUAGUGUGGCUUUUAAGUUUCAGGGAAACAGAUCAAUAUAAGUGAUCAAAACUGAAUGCUAAAAAAAUUUGAUUUCAUGAAGAAAUUACUUAUACUCUUUAUCCCAAUUAUCAGGACACAAAAAGAGGUGAAGGUGAGACUAGAUAAGAAAACACAAGUUUCAAGUAGCUCCAUUUUUGUUCAAGUUUUGCGUUAACUUUUUCUGAUCUUCGGCUUUCCCCAUUUGUGGCAAAUUUUGGGCAGGAGGGAAUAGAGGGGAAGGAAAACAAAAGAAAGAAAAAAAGAAGAGUCUUGUCAGCAUUGGUCAAAACCAACUGUAUGUCCUUUACCAUUUCAGUGGGAUCUCAUAAGGGCAGAGUAGAGGAAGAAGUUAUAUAUAUUUUUUUUUCUCAUGUGGUUUCAGGGAUAUGUGGUUUCAUAUUCUGUGAAAAGAACCCCAACAAAACAAACCAACAAACCAACACAAAAACCCCCAAAUCUUUAUAAGGGGUAGAGAGAAAGGAUACCCUUUAGCAUUGAUUAUCAAAUAUGUCCCUCUCCAAAUUGUUAGUAAUCCUAAUUCUGUUACACAGUAUGAAUAACUAAAUUAAAAACCUAAAAAAUGUGAACCCUGAGUUUUGAAGGACAAAAAUAUUUCCCUCUUUGCUAAUAGACUAAAUUUAUUAAUACAUUUUGAUAAGAUACAAUAUGGCUUUGUAUAAUGCUCUCUGGCAGUAUAUAACCAGAUGCUCACUAACAUCCCUUGGACAAUUUGACUUCCAUAUGUGCCUUUCCUUAUGCUUUUCUUGCAAGGCAAUUACCAUUCAUUCAUCAAAUGACUGCCUCAUGGAAAACUCAAAAUCCUUUCAUUCCUCACCUGUUGUGCUAGUUCCUCUCCUCCCGCCCUUCUCCUCAUUCUAGUGGACUUUUAAAGGGACAGAUUUCACUGAUACAGAGAAGGAGCACAUCUUUUUUCUUCUGGCUCAGCUUCUCAUAGCCCUUGCCCAAGAUGGUCAGACACUUCCCCACACUGUGGGUAUUUUUUAACUAAAAUUUCAACCAUCUUCAGAAGGAACCACAAACUGAGUGAAGCAGCAGAUGACCAGCAGCAGAAAGUCAAGAGCUGCCACACUAUAUCUUCCUUUUGUCAGAAAGAAAAUUCAGAACAUGUCAGGAUGAGUUCAUUCAAAGCUAGUCCUGGGGUGCUGGUGAACAGAAAAUGUACAGAAGCAGAUAUGGAUGUACUGACACCAUAACAUAUUUCCAAGGCCGUGUUUCUGGCUAAGACUAUCCACUAAAAUAAAUUUUUAAAAAUAAAAUCAUAGCCUAGCUUCAAUAAAAUAUUAAAUUAUUUGGAAAACUAAUAAAAUUUGUCUCCACCAUAACUGAUCUCCUCCCAUGCUUUGCUGUUGACCACAAACUGCACAGCUCAUAAACAAAAAGAUCUCUUAAGGUUGACAAUGCAGCACUGCUUCUUGCGAGGCUCCCCCAAAAAGCACUAUGUCCAUGCAUAGUUUUAUUUUCUAUUAACAGGUGAAUUUUAACCCUCAUGUCACCAAAAUUCUAAGUUUCUAUGAAUAACAUCAGCAAAGGUCAAUCUCCAGUCUUCUAAUCUUCAUUACUCCUGGAGUGUUAGGCAGCUGUCAUUUCCCUCCUCCACAAGUCUUCCUCACUAACUUGAGCCUCUCCACAUCCUAAUUCCCUUUUAAUCCCAUAAGAAAAAGGCAUUGACUAAACUUUCAAGUGCUUCACUUAGCAGAGGCUGAUGGGAAUUGUCAUUGUUCUGCCAGACUGCUCUAGCCCACAUCCUUAAUCUCUGGGUUUGCCUGUCAUCUCACACUUAUUUCCUGUUUUUUCAUCUUCAGUUCAUGUAACCAAGUAUCAACAUACACCCUGGUUUUUAUAUCUUCUUUGCUGAGUUAAUGUGUGUAUCACACCUGAAGUACAUAUCUGUAAAUAUCUGUGGGAGUGUAUUUUUCUUGUGUUGUCACACUGCCGAGGACUACAGAUCCCUUAUCAUUGCCUAGGAUUAAUAACCAGAAUUAUGUGAAGGAGCACAUACAACCAGAUUCCACCUCAAUUACUAAAUAACCUUCCAGAGUUUUCUUAAUUAUGUCUGGCCAAUAUAUGAGUGACAACUCUCUGUGCCCUUGCACACCUUCUAGAACACCCUCCCAAGAAGAGAUUUGAAAACAUGCAUCCCACAUCUAAAUAUAAAGUGAAUGAUGCCAGCUCUAUAAAUUACUUUAGGAAGACAGAACGGAAGGAAGAUUUAAAUGUAAGGAUGAGAGAAAAUCUCUGUGCAUCAGGCAAAGGAUGUUCAGAUACACAACUGGAUAUCUGCAUGUAUCUGUAGUAGAAACAUCUGCUGGUUCUUAUUGCUGCUUCCCUCUUCUUUUUCUAUUUCUGUUCAUUUUCUUCCUAGCCCUCUUUAUUGAAUCUAGAUGCUCUUUCCUUAUUAUUAUUUUUCAUAUUUGAUUACAAGCUUCUAAGAUAAUAAAAGGCAAGGAAAAUUAAAAAUGGUUUCCUCUAAUCUCACCAGAUCUACACUUUCAUGGCUAAGUUUCAACUCAAUUCUUAACAUUUUAAAUUGUUAUUUUUAAUAAUAAGCAUUAUAUACUGGGGCUUGCUCAUUAAACAGGCCUAUAUUACUGUAGAUCUAUAUUUAAUCAACAGCUGGCUCCACCUAGUGUCCUAUUAAUUCAUCAGUGAAAGAGAAAGCUAAAACGAAAUACUAGAGAGAAGACAGAAAUAAACUAAAAAAUCUCUUGUCAGCUGGGUGAUGGCCACAGACAGCAUGAAGUUACAAUUACUGGCAUCACAGGGAAAAGAAUAUUUUAAGUAACUACUGCAUGAUGAUUGCCAGCCAGCAUUCUGGAGACGUGAAGAGACUAAGCAGAUUCAGGAGUAUAAAGAUAUAAUAUAUGCAAUAUAAAACAGUUUUACUGCUACCCUGAAAAGGAGAAUGAGUCUUAAGCUGUUUAUAGGGGUUACUCUCUCUAUGGUUUCACUGUGAUCAACAAUGAGAAAGUAUUGUUAAAUUUAAUUGAACUUCUAUGAAAUAGAAUGAAAUUUUAUUUUAUUGCCAUCAAAACUACAGAACUAUUUCUGGCUAUUCAUACCCUACAGUGCUCCUCUCUGUUAAUGAGUAGAUCUCCCCUCCCAGCAGUUACAAAAUAAUUUAAAAUGUCUCUUGUAAAUGAUCAAAACAGGGAAAUGCACAAGAAGCUAAAUAACACUAGCUAUUAGUUUUACUGAUCCUUACAUUCAAACUUUCCAAAGGCUGGUUCACUGCUAUGUAUCUAGAAACAUCUAUCUUUCUAAAACUGUUACAGUUUUACUCAGCAGCAUUUAGUCUUUAAUAGCCUGAUCCCUGUUGACAAGACAACACAGAGUACAGCCAAUAAAGUAAUUUAAGAUAAAGUCAGAAAAGUGAAUAUCCAGUUUGACAAGUAAUUUCUUGAUUAUCACCUGUGAAAAAAAAAAUUUCUAAUGAAGAAAAAUCUAAUGAAGAAUGGAGUUUACAUAGAAGAAAGCAUUUUGUAAAGUAAUCCAAGUAAUUUAACAUAAUCAUAGCCUGUGAGCUAUUAGGCAGUGUUUGAGUGGUUGUUGAACCUUCGAAUAGGAAGAAAGAGAAUGCAUUACAUUUACAAAGCACUACUUUCACUUCUCUGAUCGAGGGCGAUCCACUCUGGUAGAGCUGAUGUCUGUUUUAAACCUGUUCCUAUCACCUGUUCAGAGCUGCUCCGCCGGUUCACCCUAGUGGUGAUAAAAUAUAUUUCAAUAUGUACAAUAUACACUUAAUGACUGUUCACCGUGACAGACAGGGAGAAUAUAUAUGUUGUGAGGGAUAGGUGGACAAGAGGAAGGAUCAUGUAAUAAUACAAUACCUACACCAAAGAAAACACCUGUAAAUUUUCUCAAACUCUCUCAAAAUAUUCAAAGUUAUGUUUGUGACCCACCUAAAGUAUUCACAGUUAAAUUCAGUUAUUAUAUGAAAACCUCACAGUGCAACACAGAAUAUGAAUUUAAUAAAAUGCACACAGAAAUGCUCUCUAAUGUUUUAAAAAUAAGAGAAUACUCAAGUUCUCAACAGUUAAGCAGUUACUGUCAUUUCUCAUUAACAGCUUUCAGAACCCUGCCUGAAACAAGUUGAUACAGAGAAAUUAAGAACAGUAAUCAAGCGAGAAAUGACAGACCAGCUGGGUAGGCAUCAAGUUGGCAAAACGUGAAUACAGUUCAAUAGCUGAAACAGAUGCUGGAGUUGUUGAGAAACCCUGCAGGAGAUAUUGAUGUAUUUUCUUUAUAUAAUUCUGAACAACCGGAUAAAUGUCAAGAGCUAAAAACUGAUGGGGAAUAAAACCUGUCAUAAAAACUAACUGUAAAGCAGAGACAUGCAAUAAUAUCCUUUCAUUAUACCAGAGCAUUCAGUACAUGCAUCUUCAUUUCCUUGGAAUUCCUCAAUAUGCCAAUAUAUCAAUCAGAGCUUGCUAGUGAAUCGGAGGGAGCUUUUCCCAGUCUUGUUUCACGUUUGUUUGUUUCUAUCUACCUGAGGCUUCAGAGACUUAGAAAAUACUUUAUUCUUCAGUCUCAUCCUAACAGAACACUCUCUUUCAAGCAAGCAAUUCCCCGAGCUUGCAGGCAAGCAGGAAAGAAAGAGUAACACGAGCAUAUAUAUGAAACUGCAAAAUCCAUUUUGCACGAGGAAUUUUGUUUUCAGAGUUUCAAGACCUCAGCAACAAAUCCUCUGUCAUCAGUGACAGCUCAUUCUAGCAUAUGCUUUGUCAUGGUCAGUUUCUAAUUACAUUCAUAAUGAUGCAAUAGCUUUGAUAAUCCUACCUUCCAUGCCAGCUGCUUUUCUUGUCACUCCAUCAUGCCAAUAAGUUGGCUGCCGUAACAAAUCAAGAUAGUGCAAAACAGCAUCUUUCCCCUGCAUCUGUCAUCUUCCUGAAAGCAUUCUAUUACUGCCGACUGCUGGGAACCAGAAAGUCUAUUUGAAUUCCAGCAGCUCCCCUUUCGCAUGAUUCAAGUUAGGUUAGGUGGGCAUGCCUAACAUGAUUCUCUCCAUCAUUUAUUAUGCAGCUGCUACACCGUCGGUGUGGUAACCACUCUGACUUUAUCUGAUACGUCAGUCUUGCAAACCUCUACCUCCGUGCAAGCCCACGAGCCACAGAAGCAUCUUGCAUUUAA
rnacentral:lncRNA from 1 species